UACGUAGGGUGCAAGCGUUGUCCGGAAUUAUUGGGCGAAAGAGCUCGUAGGCGGUCUGUCGCGUCUGCUGUGAAAACUCGGGGCUUAACCCCGGGCCUGCAGUGGGUACGGGCAGACUAGAGUGCGGUAGGGGAGACUGGAAUUCCUGGUGUAGCGGUGAAAUGCGCAGAUAUCAGGAGGAACACCGGGUGGCGAAGGCGGGUCUCUGGGCCGUAACUGACGCUGAGGAGCGAAAGCGUGGGGAGCGAACAGG
rnacentral:rRNA from 1 species